rnacentral:rRNA from 1 species
UACGUAGGUGGCAAGCGUUGUCCGGAUUUACUGGGCGUAAAGGGCUCGUAGGCGGCCAACUAAGUCGGACGUGAAAUCCCUCGGCUUAACCGGGGAACUGCGUCUGAUACUGGAUGGCUCGAGUGUGGGAGAGGAAUGCGGAAUUCCAGGUGUAGCGGUGAAAUGCGUAGAUAUCUGGAGGAACACCGGUGGCGAAGGCGGCAUUCUGGACCAUAACUGACACUGAGAGACGAAAGCCAGGGGAGCAAACGGG